rnacentral:tRNA from 1 species
GGCAUGGUGCCAGAGUGGUUAAUGGGUAUGACUCGAACCCCCAUUUAGCGGGCUAGCAAUCAUAUGGCUUCGGCCGCGGCGGUUCAAAUCCGUCCCAUGUCG